GAACCACCCUAAAACUUACGUUAAAUAGCAAAACUGAUAAAACAAAGAUGUAGUAAAUUCAAUAUCCCUCAUUCUAAAGGAGUGGCCAAAGAAAGUUUUACUCUCAAUCUUGGGGGAUUUCAACGUCGCCAUCAGAAAUCUCCUGUUGAAGAUCCUUCGGGUCCUUGCCAUCAACAGUACAACCAACAGACACACAAGUACCAAGGAUCUCCUUGACGGAGCCAGAGAGGUCCUUAGCCAUCGAUCUG
rnacentral:misc_RNA from 1 species